AACGCUACUUUACCGAUUCUAAUGCAACAUUGAUGACGCUAAACGUUAAAAAACUAGACUUCAGAUCAGUGAUCAUCACUGAUGAACCUGACAAAGAAGAUUAUUUUGUUUUAAACAGUACGUUUCCUUAAAAAUCAAGACGGUAGCUUUCCUAUCAGCUGUGCACGCGCUCCCGCGAGGUGCAUGCAGUUCUCGGCAGGCAUGCAGAUCUCGGCAUAACACCGGCCAUGCUCCUAGCAUAAGAAAUACAGAGUUUUCACCAAUUUUGGCAUCGGUUUUAAAGGAAAUAUAAGCAAAUUUAUAGAUAAAGUGUUCGGAGAUCACAAAGAUCAUUCAUAAUUGUCAGUGACGUGACCCGCACAGCUGGAGGGCAAAACAGCGGUUCAACGACACGACCGGACACUGUACAGAGCAGCAAUAAGGACUAUUAAUUUCCCCAUCUAUCAACCCACGAAUACUUAGGUCAUCUCACUGAUCAUGAACAUAAGAGAACUACAAGUUUUGGGUGAUUACGAUCAGUAUUCAGCUCUCGCCACUGUAUUUCAGUCACUGAAAACAGUCCCUGUCCGGAGGAUCCCUCGCCUAAAAGCCCAGAUCAAAGCUUUAAAACUACAGCUGUCAUUUGGGAGGUGAAGGCUAGGGAUGUAUACCGAGAGCCGGUAUUUUUUGGUACCGGUUCCAAAUUUUUCGGUGCCAGAGAACCGCUAAGAUUCUGGACAAAUGAUAUUGUUAUAUGUAUUUUUUAAAAGCGUCUACCUAACUCUCGUGUAAUUAUGACACUUCCGCCGUCGACAGGUUAUGACGUAGCUCCGUGUUAAUCAGUAGUCAAUCAUGUUGGCCGUCAGAGCUAAGCGCUCGAAGGUAUGGGUUCACUUUAUCAAAAUUAAUGAAUCCUCAGCUCGAUGCAAUAUAUGCCAGAAAGUAGUUGCGUCCAAGAGGGGAAACACCAGCAACAUCGUGAAAUACUUGCAGUCUACGCAUAGUAUAAAGCUGAAGGAGUGCGGCGUGUUUGACUGCCUAAACAAAGCGGCUAAAGUUAGCAGCUGGGCCAACGUUAACUCUUGCAACGCCGUGGCCUCCUCAGUGCAGGCUGACUCUGACACUGCUUCGUCAUCAUCAUCGAGUCACGGCGGUAUCAACAAAGCAACAGCCAUCACUGCUGGUUUGCUGAUGCAGACAACCCCAUUCACAAUCGCCAAGCGACGUCAAAUGAAGAUGUCUGCAGAAAAAACCGAGGAAUGCCACAGGGCCGUUACCAAGUUUAUUGUGAAGGAUCUACAGCCUUUCGCUACAGUCCAAUCCAAGUGGUUUAGGUAGGUACUAGGCAGUAGCAUAAGUUAGCCUAUAUUGCCAGCUGCUAGCUGUAACGUUGGUCCAAGUUUGAAGGCGCUGUUAGCUGUCAUACAACUAAUUUUGUAUUGCUUUUUCUGUGAUGAUUGUCAGGGAGAUGACCAGAGCCCUCAACCCAGGUUACACCCCCCCCUUCCAGGCAAGUGUUAUCAGGCACCCUCCUACCACCUUGGUAUGGAGUCGAGAAGAAAAAUCUAAUAGCUGAGCUUGUUAAUGUGACAAAAGUGGCCAUAACCAGUGAUGGGUGGACAAGUAUCACACAGGAUCAUUAUGUCACUGUCACACUCCACUAUGUGAAUGAGGGCCAGCUAAUGUACAAAGUACUAUCAACCCAGGCAGUGUAUGAGUCACAGAGUGAUCCAGUUGUAGCUGAAGAGAUAGGAGACGUGCUUGCAGAGUUUGGUGUUAGAGCAAAAGUCGUAGCCAUGACAGUAGAUAAUGCAGCCAACAUGGACGUUGCUGCACAAGAGCUCCAAAUCAGAAAACUUGGCUGCUGUGCGCACACUCUCAACCUCAGUGCACAAAAGGUCUACACCGUCCAAACUGUCGCCAAGUGGUCUGCGAGAAUCUGGGACUGUGUUGUGUGGAUCAAGAGAUCUUCCAUUGUGAAGAACGUGGUUGAGGAGAAGCAGAGACUUCUGGGCAUGACUGUCCAUACUGCUGUCCUGGAUGUGAGGACCCGCUGGAACUCGCUGUAUCUCAUGGUGGAAAGAUUUAUUGAGAUAUACGCAGCCAUACAAGCUGCCCUCUUGGACCCACGAGCCAAAAAGCUGAUGAAGAGAGACAGGAUGAUGAUCUGAUAGAGGCCACCACCAUGGACCCUAGGUUCAAGGAGAAGAUCAAGAAGGAAGAAGUCUUUGACCGGCUGAUAGAGGUAGCAGUGAGAGAACUGUCAGAGGAUGAGGAUGUGACAAUGUCGAUGACUGAAGCUGACUUCCAGGGAGAUGGAGAAGAGGAUGAUGAAGAGGAGGAUCAUCCAAAACCAGUAUCUGCACUGGGAGAACUCUUCGCAGAGGAAGACAGACAGCUGCAAAGGCAGCGCAGUCGACAGCAGUGCACCAACAACAAUCCUUGUCCUUCACCUACCUCUGCGUCCAGGCCUCUUCAAUGCCGUCUGAACGAGUGUUCUCAACCACAGGAGACACACUCUGUCCAGAGCGAUCUCGGCUGCUGCCAGAGAAAGUAAAUAUGUUGCUUUUCCUUAACAAAAACUGUUAGGGCUAAAUGCGUCAGGAGAAGUGCCUACUCUACACUGUUCUGUUUACAUAUAUGUGUCUGUUGGGUUGAACAUGUAGGUAAGGGCUUUGGUCAUCUCCCUAGUUUUUUUUAUUUCAUCUAUUACCUUCUUCUGAGAAGCAUUUGUAAUUGUAAGUUAAGCUUCUGUUUUGUUGAAGUUGAAGUCUGUAUGGAUGGUGUGCUGCCUGCUCGUUUUUAUACCUUGCACUGCACAUGUUGACUUGCUAAGGGCUUAAAAGGCAGGUGCUGUAAGUUGUUUAAUGAUGUUGCUGGUG